CGCCGCGCCACUCCUCACCUCCGUCCGGAGCCCACUCCGAGCGCGCCGCCUCGGCCCGGACCGCCGUGAAUCAGCCGGAUCUCAUUCAAAGCCGGUCCGCCCAGGCCCCCGCGUAUGCUUCCCGGUUCAGAGGGCGCGCGGCGGAGACUUCCGGUGUCGGAGUCGGGUUUGGAGGUGGGGGGGGCAGGAAGCCAUGGCAACGCAGUUUGCCUGGCAACGGCGCGCGCUGCCGGCGGGAGCGCGCUAAGCGCUCGUGCGCGGGAGCUGCUGCGGCCGUUAAACCGCCUCUCCUACGGCGUGAGGCGAGCAAGCGAGACCUGAGCGGUACUUGCGGGCCUGAGAGAAGUCCGGGAAGCCCCUCGGGUGCCACAGUUGCACUCGUGUUGGCCGUUAUUCUGUCCACCUACAAAUCCACAGCUGUCACAAAGUUACCUGGAGCUCUUGGAGCAGUGACGUUCUGAAGGACGCUGUCCCUAAGGUGACGCUGAGUGCUGAGGUGAAGCGCUCAGGAGGCUUUGCUCUGAAGUACUGCACCUUAAGCUUGUUUCUAGCUCAGAGCCCAGCUGCGUCCAACUGGCACCUACGUGCAGAUAACCAGUAAAUAGGAUGGCUUUAUGUUCCAAAAAAUGCAUCAUCAAAUCAAAAAGAGAAUGAUUAGUAGGAACACCGCAUGAAACCAUCUCAAAAGCGAUGUCAUGAGGAUUGAGAGGAUUCAGAGGAAAGUAAUAAAGUGCACAUAUAUAUGAAAAAUCACAUGUGCAGAAAUGAAAAAGAGUGGAAUGGUAACAAUUUUUUUCCAUACAAAGAAGACAAAUUUGACAUAAGAUAGGAGCAUGCACACUAAUGAAUGAUGUGGAGGGAACAAACUGGAAUUUUCAAUUACCUUUAUGGAACACAGGAGAAAAAUAAACAACAAUAAAAAGAUUGGUAAAUGAAAAGAGGAAAAUACAAGGCUGAGGAAUCACAAAUAAUUCUUCAGAUAAUAUGUGACUGUUCUGGAUCUAAGUGUCUCAGGAUCUUACUCUGAUUAGAACAAUGCUUUUCUUAAAGUGCAUGUUUAUAUAUAGUUGCUAAAAUAUUAUGAAUAUUGAUGAAUAAUUGAACAACUGAAGAACAUAAAAGGCAAUUUAUUGUGUUUCCACAAUGAAUGACCAAGACCAGCAUUAUGGUUUGGUUCUGAAGCUGCUUUAAGGAUUGAGAAUGUGAAAUUAGAAGAUGGUCAGCACUUCACGCUCACAGAUGGUUACAAGGAAGCAAGUGCAAAGGUCCCGAGUGCAUUUCAGACACCAACUGAACCUAAGCCCUUCCUCUGCAAAGUUUUAUACUCAGUAAUGGGAGGACGUUUCCUUUCUCCACAAAACCUGAAUUUAGAAAUUAAUUAAAUGAUGGAUUUCCAGCCUACUUGAAAAAUAAACUCAAGCAAGAGCAAUGAUCUCAUCUAGCUAGUAAUUAUCCUUUGUGUUCAAUGCUCUUCACUCAGUGUUUCAGCAACUGCAAAUAGUCUUUAAAUAAUCAUGAAUCCAUUGUUGCAUAUAUGGAUGUCUUACAAGCACAGAUGCUUAAGGCUUCUAUUGACCGGCUGUAAAUAACAUCACUUUUAAUUAGAAAUGCACUGAUAUAAAUCUGCCUGCUCAUCCUUAGCUUCAUCUUUCAGGUAACUGGAGCUGCUAAUUACUUUAAAAAAUGCAGGUCAAAUGCUCAGUAUCUGAAUUCAUUAACUCAAUAGAAUAUGGCUCUCUUUGUGAUAACUUUACAGAUGUUUUUAGAGGUCAAAUUUUGUGCCCUAUAUUACCCAUUGACUUUAUUUGUUCCUAGUAAUAGAUCUAAGAUUUUGUAGUAGUAGUAAUAAACAAACAUUCUUUAAAUGAACGGUUGUUAAUCUAGCUCCAUUCUUUUUUAAUGGAAGACAGCACAGUGUAUUGUUAAUGGCAUAUACAUAAACAGUGACAUUAGGGAUCUUCAUCCCACUGAAGAAAUA